GAAAAAGAACCUGAAACCGUGUACGUACAAGCAGUGGGAGCACAGGUUUACCUGUGUGACUGCGUACCUUUUGUAUAAUGGGUCAGCGACUUAUAUUCUGUAGCAAGGUUAACCGAAUAGGGGAGCCGGAGGGAAACCGAGUCUUAAUUGGGCGUUAAGUUGCAGGGUAUAGACCCGAAACCCGGUGAUCUAGCCAUGGGCAGGUUGAAGGUUGGGUAACACUAACUGGAGGACCGAACCGACUAAUGUUGAAAAAUUAGCGGAUGACCUGUGGCUGGGGGUGAAAGGCCAAUCAAACCGGGAGAUAGCUGGUUCUCCCCGAAAGCUAUUUAGGUAGCGCCUCGUGAAUUCAUCUCCGGGGGUAGAGCACUGUUUCGGCUAGGGGGCCAUCCCGGCUUACCAACCCGAUGCAAACUGCGAAUACCGGAGAAUGUUAUCACGGGAGACACACGGCGGGUGCUAACGUCCGUCGUGAAGAGGGAAACAACCCAGACCGCCAGCUAAGGUCCCAAAGUCAUGGUUAAGUGGGAAACGAUGUGGGAAGGCCCAGACAGCCAGGAUGUUGGCUUAGAAGCAGCCAUCAUUUAAAGAAAGCGUAAUAGCUCACUGGUCGAGUCGGCCUGCGCGGAAGAUGUAACGGGGCUAAACCAU
rnacentral:rRNA from 2 species